UAGAGUCUGUAAACAAGUCAAAAAUAACACCUGGCAUUUUGCCAGGGGAAUGUUAGAGUUCGUAAACAAGUCUGGAUGGUGCCUGGCAAAAUGCCUGAGGGAGUGGUUUAAGAAGUAACAAAAGCGAGCCAUUAAGUGUAGAGAUUCCUUAUUGGUUGACUGAUGUAUCUAGUUUAUGCUAAUUAGAUAAGCUCUGUGGAAUUUUGUAUAAAUACUGCUCCUGUCCUACAAUAAACGGCUCCUACUCCUGCUGUAUCAACGUACACAAGUUAUUCGUCACCCCCCGGUUAUUUUGCAGCCAGCCGGCCUUCUACAGAUGGUGGCCCGUUACGGGGAGCCCCGGGACACUCGGGGGUAAGUGACGAAAAAAAGCUGCCUGUCCAUAGAUAGGACGGGAGCAAAUCUGCUCGUCCCUAGGCAGAUAGGGCGAGAGGAAAAAUGGCCAUUUCGAGAAAAUGGAGAAGAUUGAUACAGUAUGUUUGUGUCUUGUUUUGUCUCAGUGUAUUGUAUUGUCUUUGUGAUGAAAAUAUGGAAGGGGUGAGAAGUAAAUUACUAAGGGAAGAAGGNGAGCCCAAAUCUAGACCUGACCUGGAGGCACAGUCUCGCAGGCUCUUGCUCCCUGUGCCCAGUAGCAGUUUGAGUCCGGGACACUCCCCAGGGCCAUCUGGGGCUGCCCAGGCACUACAGCCAGCAGAAGACGCUACUGGUGUCCCUGAUGUUUGGUCAUUUUCAAUGCCAAUAACUAAGCUACAAUGGUUCUCCCACACCUGGAAGCUAAUGAGUAAUGAGCACCAUUAAGGCUUAUUUAAAUGUAAAAAACCUUGAGAUAAUGUACUAAAUUGUUCAGAAGGUUGUUUUCUUAGUAGAAUGCUACAGGAUUUUCUUUAGCCAUCCGGAGUUCCUGCCUUCGUCCCAGUGCCGGUAAAAACGAGGGUGGAAGAAUUUCCAGUGUUGCUGAAAACUGGACGAAACUUUGGCUGAAAAACGGACGAGACUUCGGAUCAAGCUAGCUGCCUGCAGAACUUACCUGGACUGUGAUUUAAGCUAGCUGCCUGCAGAACUUACCUGGACUGUGAUUUACCUGGACUGUGAGUUAAUCUAUUGAGACACUACUUUACCUGGACUGAGACAACAAACUGUAAUCUAUAACAAAUUGUAACUCGGUAUCUUUGCUAACAGUGUCAUUGCUGGUAUAAUUUUUCCAAGGGCUUCUUGCAUGGAGCCAUCAAUUGGCUUGGUAUUGUGGCAUUUUGUAUCCUCCCUUUCUGUUUGUAGCAGGUUAUUUAUGGUGUUUCUGUAAAAACCACUAUGGUUGUUAUUUAAAUUAAACAAAAGGGGGAAAUAUUAGAGUCUGUAAACAAGUCAAAAAUAACACCUGGCAUUUUGCCAGGGGAAUGUUAGAGUUCGUAAACAAGUCUGGGUGGUGCCUGGCAAAAUGCCUGAGGGAGUGGUUUAAGAAGUAACAAAAGCGAGCCAUUAAGUGUAGAGAUUCCUUAUUGGUUGACUGAUGUAUCUAGUUUAUGCUAAUUAGAUAAGCUCUGUGGAAUUUUGUAUAAAUACUGCUCCUGUCCUACAAUAAACGGCUCCUACUCCUGCUGUAUCAACGUUCACAAGUUGUUC
rnacentral:lncRNA from 1 species